rnacentral:ncRNA from 2 species
GGGGAUGUAGCUCAGAUGG